CGUAACAAGGUCUCCGUAGGUGAACCUGCGGAGGGAUCAUUACACAAAUAUGAAGGCGGGCUGGAACCUCUCGGGGUUACAGCCUUGCUGAAUUAUUCACCCUUGUCUUUUGCGUACUUCUUGUUUCCUUGGUGGGUUCGCCCACCACUAGGACAAACAUAAACCUUUUGUAAUUGCAAUCGGCGUCAGUAACAAAUUAAUAAUUACAACUUUCAACAACGGAUCUCUUGGUUCUGGCAUCGAUGAAGAACGCAGCGAAAUGCGAUAAGUAGUGUGAAUUGCAGAAUUCAGUGAAUCAUCGAAUCUUUGAACGCACAUUGCGCCCUUUGGUAUUCCAAAGGGCAUGCCUGUUCGAGCGUCAUUUGUACCCUCAAGCUUUGCUUGGUGUUGGGCGUCUUGUCUCUAGCUUUGCUGGAGACUCGCCUUAAAGUAAUUGGCAGCCGGCCUACUGGUUUCGGAGCGCAGCACAAGUCGCACUCUCUAUCAGCAAAGGUCUAGCAUCCAUUAAGCCUUUUUUUCAACUUUUGACCUCGGAUCAGGUAGGGAUACCCGCUGAACUUAAGCAUAUCA
rnacentral:rRNA from 1 species